ACUUCUACUAUAUAAGCCACAUCAACCCAAGUUAACGGGUAAAUAUAUAAAUGCAGAAAAGAGGGUUUACUCUCGGCGCACAUUAAGACUCCUUAACGUGCAUUGGGCACUAUGGCUCACUGAAAACGAAAAGCUAAACCCUGAAAAAUGAAAACAUAAGUGCGCACUACAUAUUCAACUAUUGCAUGAGGAUCCAUAGUUUUUACGAUAAUUUUGCACCGAAAAAACAUCGUGCUCCCAUCACAAAAAUCAACUAUUUCAUGUUCUAGGAAUUAGUGAAUCAGCCAAUUGUAGAUGCUAAGGAAGGCAUGAAAGAAAAGGUUACUAAAGUAGAACUCACCACAACUGCUAAGAAUUUGGAUUCUCAGGAGUCAACAAAAGCACGACCAAUCAUGCCAGCAGUUCUGAAAGCCAGGUUCUUCACCUGGGAGCCAGAGAGAGCAUGAGUAAGAGAGGCUGCAAAAUGUUCGAGAGAAAUUCAUUAUCUUCAAAUUUUAAAAAUUAGUCAUGAACACUAAUUCAAAUUCUCAGUCUCUUUCAAUUUUUAAAGGGGUGAAUUAUCAAUUUUGGAGUCUUAAGAUGAAGACUCUUUUCAAGUCUCAAGAGUUAUGGCACUUAGUGGAGAAUGGAUUUCGAGACCCAGAUGAAGGCCACACACGGCUGUUUUGGGAAAAUCGCAGGAAGGAUUCUAAAGAACUGUUUCUGAUUCAACAAGCCCUUUAUGAUGAUAUCUUUCCCAGAAUUUCAGCAGCGGAGAAAUCCAAUGAAGCUUGGGAAAUUUUGCAUUAGGAGUAUAUGGGAGAUAAGAAGGUAAUUUAUCACGACCCAAACCGAGGUCCUGGCUACGACGGGCAUCCCAAACCAUGAAAGCCUGAGAGCCCUUCUAACUGGCGAUCAUAUACACAAUCCAUAUACUAUAAAGAUGUGAAAAAACAAAACGGAAUCAUGGUCAUCUAAUUUCAACAAAACCAUUGGUUAUAAUUUCAACAAGGCCCCCAGUCGGACCAUAAACUAAAAACAAUGAAAUCAUCACAUGAGAUAAGGCCUUCUGAAAUAAGGGAGACUUACCAACUCCAAUCGACUGACAAAUCAAUCUACGGCUUAGCGAAACCCCACGACUGUGCCUAAGAUCCUGAAACAUAGGGGGUCAAUACAAAUGUACUGGUACGCAGAGCAAUCCAAAAUAAUGUAUUUUUUAUAUAACAUAAGUAAGAGCAAUUCAUAAAACAGUUUACAUAUGAUAUAGGAAAAACACAUGGGCAUUUUUUGAUAAAUUUCAAAACACUUUCUUGAGAUCAUGACUCAACUCUUUAUUUCUCUUUUGAGCUAGAUGGUACACCCUACAAUCUGUAAUUCUACAGGCUAUAUGAAAUUUGCCCUUGACUCGACGGCCAAGCGCCCAAUCUAAGUUUGUCGCAAGGAUUAGUGUAUCUAUAAGGGGGACACGCAAGAUCACACAACAGGGUGCCAAAAUUCUGAAUCCAAUCACUAUGUCAUAGUAGUGCACGAGAUCACAAAGAAGGACUCCUAACCAUAGCACCAAUUUGGGAUGACAUGAAUCAAGGUACACAAGAUCACAAAGCAGGGUACCAUAAUCCCGUGUCGGCAAAUCAUGAUUUCUAGCAUAGAGUCUUUCAAUACGUACUAUCUUCGAGUAACUAUCUAACUCUUUUUAAGCCCAUUUUUAAUUCUCUUAUAAGAAAAAAUGCAUCAUGCUUACACAAAACUCUUUUUUUAUUCUGUUAAGGGCAGUUCACAAUGAGGUAUCGUCAUACCCCGACUUGCAAGUCAUUUGUAUCAUAUCAUCCCACAACCCUUCUCAUUCAAACCAUUUAUAAUGACGUGCUUUAGAUUUUUCAAUCAUCUCAAUCAUUUGACCACCAAAAAUAUUUAAACAAUGCAAGGGAGUCCUUAUUUCAAAACGUGUGCAAAUUUAUGCAAAGA